rnacentral:rRNA from 1 species
UACGUAGGGUGCAAGCGUUAUCCGGAAUUAUUGGGCGUAAAGAGCUCGUAGGCGGUUUGUCGCGUCUGCUGUGAAAACUGGAGGCUCAACCUCCAGCCUGCAGUGGGUACGGGCAGACUAGAGUGCGGUAGGGGAGAUUGGAAUUCCUGGUGUAGCGGUGGAAUGCGCAGAUAUCAGGAGGAACACCAAUGGCGAAGGCAGAUCUCUGGGCCGUUACUGACGCUGAGGAGCGAAAGCAUGGGGAGCGAACAGG